rnacentral:rRNA from 1 species
UACGUAGGGUGCGAGCGUUGUCCGGAAUUACUGGGCGUAAAGGGCUCGUAGGCGGUUUGUCGCGUCGGGAGUGAAAACACACAGCUUAACUGUGUGCUUGCUUCCGAUACGGGCAGACUGGAGGUAUGCAGGGGAGAACGGAAUUCCUGGUGUAGCGGUGAAAUGCGCAGAUAUCAGGAGGAACACCGGUGGCGAAGGCGGUUCUCUGGGCAUUACCUGACGCUGAGGAGCGAAAGCGUGGGGAUCAAACAGG